UACGUAGGGUGCAAGCGUUGUCCGGAAUUAUUGGGCGUAAAGAGCUCGUAGGCGGUCUGUCGCGUCGGCUGUGAAAUCCCGCGGCUCAACCUCGGGUCUGCAGUCGAUACGGGCAAACUGGAGUGUUGCAGGGGAGACUGGAAUUCCUGGUGUAGCGGUGAAAUGCGCAGAUAUCAGGAGGAACACCUGCGGCGAAGGCGGGUUGCUGGGCUGACACUGACGCUGAUGCGCGAAAGCUAGGGGAGCGAACGGG
rnacentral:rRNA from 1 species